UACGAAGGGGGCUAGCGUUGUUCGGAAUCACUGGGCGUAAAGCGCACGUAGGCGGAUCUUUAAGUCAGGGGUGAAAUCCCGAGGCUCAACCUCGGAACUGCCUUUGAUACUGGGGAUCUCGAGUCCGGGAGAGGUGAGUGGAACUGCGAGUGUAGAGGUGAAAUUCGUAGAUAUUAGGAAGAACACCGGUGGCGAAGGCGGCCCACUGGAUCGGUACUGACGCUGAGGUGCGAAAGCGUGGGGAGCAAACAGG
rnacentral:rRNA from 1 species